rnacentral:rRNA from 1 species
UGGGGAAUAUUGCACAAUGGGCGCAAGCCUGAUGCAGCCAUGCCGCGUGUAUGAAGAAGGCCUUCGGGUUGUAAAGUACUUUCAGAGGGGAGGAAGGCGAUGUGGUUAAUAACCGCGUCGAUUGACGUUACCCGCAGAAGAAGCACCGGCUAACUCCGUGCCAGCAGCCGCGGUCAUACGGAGGGUGCAAGCGUUAAUCGGAAUUACUGGGCGUAAAGCGCACGCAGGCGGUCUGUCAAGUCGGAUGUGAAAUCCCCGGGCUCAACCUGGGAACUGCAUCCGAAACUGGCAGGCUUGAGUCUCGUAGAGGGGGGUAGAAUUCCAGGUGUAGCGGUGAAAUGCGUAGAGAUCUGGAGGAAUACCGGUGGCGAAGGCGGCCCCCUGGACGAAGACUGACGCUCAGGUGCGAAAGCGUGGGGAGCAAACA